AAGUCGAGCGGAACGAGUUAUCUGAACCUUCGGGGAACGAUAACGGCGUCGAGCGGCGGACGGGUGAGUAAUGCCUAGGAAAUUGCCCUGAUGUGGGGGAUAACCAUUGGAAACGAUGGCUAAUACCGCAUGAUGCCUACGGGCCAAAGAGGGGGACCUUCGGGCCUCUCGCGUCAGGAUAUGCCUAGGUGGGAUUAGCUAGUUGGUGAGGUAAGGGCUCACCAAGGCGACGAUCCCUAGCUGGUCUGAGAGGAUGAUCAGCCACACUGGAACUGAGACACGGUCCAGACUCCUACGGGAGGCAGCAGUGGGGAAUAUUGCACAAUGGGCGCAAGCCUGAUGCAGCCAUGCCGCGUGUGUGAAGAAGGCCUUCGGGUUGUAAAGUACUUUCAGUCGUGAGGAAGGCGGCGUCGUUAAUAGCUGCGUUGUUUGACGUUAGCGACAGAAGAAGCACCGGCUAACUCCGUGCCAGCAGCCGCGGUAAUACGGAGGGUGCGAGCGUUAAUCGGAAUUACUGGGCGUAAAGCGCAUGCAGGUGGUUUGUUAAGUCAGAUGUGAAAGCCCGGGGCUCAACCUCGGAAUAGCAUUUGAAACUGGCAGACUAGAGUACUGUAGAGGGGGGUAGAAUUUCAGGUGUAGCGGUGAAAUGCGUAGAGAUCUGAAGGAAUA
rnacentral:rRNA from 1 species